rnacentral:rRNA from 1 species
CUGCCUCAUACAGGGGGAUAACAGUUAGAAAUGACUGCUAAUACCGCAUAAGCGCACAGGAUUGCAUGAUCCCGUGUGAAAAACUCCGGUGGUAUGAGAUGGACCCGCGUCUGAUUAGCUGGUUGGUGGGGUAACGGCCCACCAAGGCGACGAUCAGUAGCCGACCUGAGAGGGUGACCGGCCACAUUGGGACUGAGACACGGCCCAAACUCCUACGGGAGGCAGCAGUGGGGAAUAUUGCACAAUGGGGGAAACCCUGAUGCAGCAACGCCGCGUGAGUGAAGAAGUAUUUCGGUAUGUAAAGCUCUAUCAGCAGGGAAGAAAAUGACGGUACCUGAGUAAGAAGCCCCGGCUAACUACGUGCCAGCAGCCGCGGUAAUACGUAGGGGGCAAGCGUUAUCCGGAUUUACUGGGUGUAAAGGGAGCGUAGACGGCGAUGCAAGUCUGAAGUGAAAGCCCGGGGCUCAACCCCGGGACUGCUUUGGAAACUGUAUGGCUGGAGUGCUGGAGAGGCAAGCGGAAUUCCUAGUGUAGCGGUGAAAUGCGUAGAUAUUAGGAAGAACACCAGUGGCGAAGGCGGCUUGCUGGACAGUAACUGACGUUGAGGCUCGAAAGCGUGGGGAGCAAACAGGAUUAGAUACCCUGGUAGUCCACGCUGUAAACGAUG